GACGAACGCUGGCGGCGUGCUUAACACAUGCCAGUCGAACGGAAAGGCCCUGCUUUUGUGGGGUGCUCGAGUGGCGAACGGGUGAGUAACACGUGAGUAACCUGCCCUUGACUUUGGGAUAACUUCAGGAAACUGGGGCUAAUACCGGAUAGGAGCUCCUGCUGCAUGGUGGGGGUUGGAAAGUUUCGGCGGUUGGGGAUGGACUCGCGGCUUAUCAGCUUGUUGGUGGGGUGGUGGCUUACCAAGGCUUUGACGGGUAGCCGGCCUGAGAGGGUGACCGGCCACAUUGGGACUGAGAUACGGCCCAGACUCCUACGGGAGGCAGCAGUGGGGAAUAUUGCACAAUGGGCGGAAGCCUGAUGCAGCAACGCCGCGUGCGGGAUGACGGCCUUCGGGUUGUAAACCGCUUUCGCCUGUGACGAAGCGUGAGUGACGGUAAUGGGUAAAGAAGCACCGGCUAACUACGUG
rnacentral:rRNA from 1 species